rnacentral:snRNA from 1 species
UCUAAACUGCUGAAUGCGUUCC